UGUUGGAAUUUCGGGGACGAAAUUCUAUAAGGAGGGAAGGUUGUCACAACCCGUCCCGGAAUUUUAAUUCCGAGGACGUGAAGUUAUGAAAAUGCCCUUAAACGGGACUAAGGGGCGUAAAAUAUGUUGUAACUUGAUGAUUUGGGGAUUGGGUAGGAACCCCACAUCCCUCAAAUCUCUCCCUCAUUCCCGUACCUUGUCUCUCUCUCUCCUCCCUCACAAAUCUCUCAUUCUCUCUGUAAGUUCUCUCUCUCUCUCUCUCUCCUUCGAACUCACACGGACCACCCACAAACCACCCCAAAACUAUACCAACGCAGGAUCUAAGACCACCAUCGUACUCCUGAGGACCACACGAACACGAUGGUACCAAUUUCAGCUUGUAGGAAGCUUGGUGAGGUCCUAAGGAAGCUCGGAGUGCUUCGUUUGAAGGAUUUGGACGUCGGGAUCACGAACUGUAAGUUUGGCCGAAUUUUCGUAUUUUUGGAAAAGUUUGAUUCCGUUGUUUUUAGGCCCUAAAACUAGUCCAACGUGGUAGAUUAUGUUUAGGGCUUCAUUUUGGUAUAAAUUACGUGAAAAAUGGACGUAGGAACACGGAGAACGAUAAGUUCAAAGUUUGGCCGGAGCUGUCGGGGCUUUUUCCGGCGAAACCACGGCGAGUUAGGGGUCGAGACAGAAAUUCCGGCAAAACACUAUUUCCGGCGAAACCAGUCCGGCGACGCGAGGAAG